GCUGACUCAAAACAUUUUGGUCAAGAUCUCACACCUUACCAACAGUUUUUUUUGCAGAAACCUUAAUGGUCUUCUCUCGUUGCUCUAAAUUAGCUACGGAUACAGAGCAUAUUCAUGAACAACAGGUUUAAACAACCUGAUUCAGAACUGGUUUAUCGAUUUCUACUCCAACAAGUUUUGCUCAUUCAUUUGUUGUGCAUCAGGUCAUUUGGCAGGUGAGAGUGUCUGCAGGGAUCCCAGAAGCACUUGCACAGCACCUGUUCCCUCAGAUUGCCGCCCAGCUUUGAGAGCCAUGGGUACGCCAAAGGCAGAAGACCUGAGGGCAGAACUUCUGAGUGCAGAUUACCGAAAGGCUGAAAUACAUUGGGAUGACAAUUUAGCUAUGUCUAGGAGAGCAGGGGAGCGAGAAGGGCGACCUAAGCUAUCCCUCCAUCGUUUUUUCUCAGCCAUGGGACUGAACAGUAUGGGUAAGCUGGUGAAGGGCAGCCGGUCCAACAGCAUGGAGCACCUGUGUUCCCCUACUGCCCACUACAGUUCUGCCUCCCCACGCCCCACACACAGAGGCCUUGUCCCUCUGAAGAGAACCCCCUCUCUCCAGUCUCUCCACACAGUGAGUUCUCUUCUUUGUUAAAGAGAGAGUUAAAGAGUCCACCAACACUAGCACCCCUACCCUUGCAAUACCAUGUGAGAUAGGGUGACCAUACGUGCCAUUUUUAUGGGACAUGUCCUGGCCAGGAUUUCUAUAUUGCCUAAAAUAUCCAGGUUUUGGCUCUUUGCACAGCACAGACUGAUCAGUGUAUAAUAUGACAUCAUUUAGAACAAAAUCAGGCCAAAACGAAGUUCGUUUUGAGUUUGUUUCUGCAGUUCGAAACAGCUCACCAAAGUGAACUUUUAGGGGGAGUUUGUUUUGGUUCCUAAACACCUUUUGAGCUUCCAUUGGUCCGUGGGGAUUACGCAAUCGGUGGGUGUGUUUUGAAACUCCACCUUCAUUGACAUGCGACUUUCUUUUUUUUUCCCGGUUUGUUCCUCAUUCUGCUGAGGUCCUACAGGAAAGCAACAUCUCCUGAAUACACUGAGUGUCGAAUAGCUGAGCUGCACAAAUUUAUAUGCACCUGUACGAUCACUCGUGGAGAGACUUUGAAGAAUUAGAGAAAGUAUUUAAUUCCUAGAAAGAAAUUGCAAUGAAGCUUGGUGUCGACGACCCGGAGUUGUGCAAAAAGCAACGCAGAGAAACAUCCGAGACAAGUUUCCAAAGCCAUGAAAAGAAUGAAAGAAAAGGGUAAAGAUAUAAGGUAGCAUGUACCAAAUACAUGUGUUUCAAAUCAAAGUUACACCA
ensembl:lncRNA